CACGUAGGGCGCAAGCGUUGUCCGGAAUUAUUGGGCGUAAAGAGCUCGUAGGCGGUUUGUCGCGUCUGGCGUGAAAGCUUGGGGCUUAACCCUAAGUCUGCGGUGGAUACGGGCAGGCUAGAGGCAGGGAGGGGAGAACGGAAUUCCCGGUGUAGCGGUGAAAUGCGCAGAUAUCGGGAGGAACACCGGUGGCGAAGGCGGUUCUCUGGGCCUGUACUGACGCUGAGGAGCGAAAGCGUGGGGAGCGAACAGG
rnacentral:rRNA from 1 species